UACAUAUUCUGGGGACCUUGUUAAACCUUCUUAACUAGGAAUGCCUUAUAUUCUGCAUUUCUAACAAGUUCCCCAGUGAUGCCAAU
rnacentral:miRNA from 1 species